rnacentral:pre_miRNA from 1 species
UAAACUCAUACUUACCUGACGCGGGAGGUUUAUCGUGACCAACGCGGUCCUCUUAGGGUGAGGCCAUC